rnacentral:lncRNA from 1 species
GGAAACUGUCAGCUCAUCAUUCCCAGAUGUUCUAAUCAGCUCUAGUUAAAAUACUUGAACAUUUUUAACCAAAGAUUAUCAUAACUGAGGAUUACGUAGCUCUGAUGGUGAGACCAUGCCAAAGUGCGUGAUGUGUGUGUUGCAUACCAGAACGAAAAAGAGCAGCAGAUCUGAGCACUGGCACCAGCCUGUGAAAAGCUGUAUUGCACAAGGGAAAACAAAAGCAGCCCAGCUCCCUCUGCAGUGAGUGACAUCCUAUGGUGUGAUCUGAAACUCUGCUAAAGGAGAGUGCGCUUAGGAAAGGGAAAGUGAAGCUAUUGGUGAGACUCAUUGCACCAGGCUCUUAUGAAAUCAGAUAGAUUAAUAGAAUAUGGUGUUAUAAUGGUUUUGGUUUAUGAUAUGAGAGAGUUCAUGGGAGAGCUAAACAGCCUGUGCUUUAAGAAAACAUCAUCAGAUAGAAGUAUAAGAGCCUCCUGCUUCCUCUCCAACAUCGCAUGGAUUCCACGCUUGAAACAGUGAGCACCUUCUCCAUGUAAAAAACUCUGAAAAUUGCGGGUCAAAGAUCACCUCACUUCUUGCAGUCGUUGAGUAGUCUGGAAGUGCAAAAUGGCAAGAAUAGCAGUUUGUGUUUGGGAACAUACUGCUAAGGAAGAACAUGAGUGUUUGAGAAGGAUAUUCCAGAUGAAGAAGAACAACUUGCCAGUGGACUGCUGAGGCAUCUCUAGAGACUUGCAUUGGAAGGAAGAGGGAGUUUUCUGCAAGAAAUGGAAAAGUAUGUCUGAACAACUGAGGCUGGAAAUGGAGAACAUGUCUUGGAGUUCCCUGCACAAGAUUCCUGUUUCCAGUCUCACUGUGUCUGGCUGUCCUUGGAGCACUCAUGCCCGUUGCAGUGAGCAGAAGGGAGCCCUGGUUGGGUGCUGUUCUGAGCAUACAGGGCCACUGGUGUCCCUACAGCAGUAUGGCAGAGCACUGCAUCAGCCUUGCUCACAGCUGGGAGGAGGACAGCCUCACCAGCAGCCUGAGCAGGAGUGAGGAGAAGGGAAGUUUUGUGCUCUUCACACUGCAGGCGAAACAUCUUUGCAUGAACUCUGCGAAAAGGUGAGUUUCAUUUUUAUCUGUUCAUUCUUGAAAGCAAGUUAAUUUUCCAUCAUUGAGCUAGGUCUCACCCCUGGAGAGGUGGUAAAACAGUUUUCUAUCUGAGAUGUUAAAGCAAAAUAACGAGGUGCUCCAAGGACUCAAG